rnacentral:rRNA from 1 species
AUGAACUACUCCCGGAAUAACAAUAGCAAUCCCAGUAAGUUGAUCAGGAGAAACAAUCCAAUUCUGGCACGAUUUUGUAUUGUAGAAAAAAAAUUCGCACCGUUCCCAUCGAACGGGCACCUAAGCAUUGGGGUUUGCUGGGUCAGCCUAUCCGAGUCGUAUGCUGUUGGACCGGGGGCACGAGUCCGCGCGGCUCGGCGCGCCGCCCCCCUCCGACGACCCCGACAGCUCGGUGCACUCGACCUUGCUCCUCCGCGUCGUCUUCACGCGCAGUUGUACCCCCCACGACACCACGCGCCUGCACACCCUUUCCACCACGUCCCUCCCGCGGCGGUGCCACCCGCCGCUCUCCAGGGCGCCGCGCAGCUCCGACGCCACCUCCGCCAUCGCUGGCCGGCGCUCCACGCUCUCCGACACGCACCGCGCGGCCACGGACAGGACCCUGUCGAUCGCGGCCUCGGCGUCGGUGCCGGGACGGGGCGCGGCCACCCUCCCGUCGAACACCUGGCGCGCCAGCCCGGCGCCGAUCAGCGGCAGCGCCCACGCGACGAUGGACGACGGGGAGGCGUUCACGUCCAUCACCUUGCGCCCGCUGAUGAGCUCCAGGAGCACCACGCCGAAGCUGAACACGUCGCUCUCGGGCCCCAGCCGGCCCGGCUCCGUGUAGCUCGGGUCCAGGUACCCCAUAGUGCCAGCCGGAGCCGGCCUCGGCGCGCCCGCGGCGGCGACCCUGACCGCGAGGCUGAAGUCGGCGAGGCGGGCGCGGCCGUCGCGGCCGAGCAGGACGUUGGCCGUCUUGACGUCCCGGUGUAUGACGCGGGGCGCGGCGCCGUGCAGCGCGCGCAUGGCCCGCGCCACGUCGAGCGCGAUCUCCACGCGGCGCGGCCACGGCGGCGGCCUCGGGGACCGGUGCAGCAGGUCGUGCAGCGAGCCGUUGGGCAUGAACUCCAUGACGAGAAGCGGCGACCGCCCCGCCGCCGCAACCGCGCCGACGAGGGUCACGACGCCCGGGUGGUGGCGCGCGGCCGUGAGCACGGCGAUCUCGUUGGCGAGCUUGGCCUCCCCCUGCGGGUGCGAGGCCUUCUUGACGGCGACGGUGACGAGCCUCCUGCCGUGGCCGGCGCCGCCCCUGAGCCUGGCCCUGUAGACGCAGCCGUGGCUGCCCUUGCCGACGACGUUCUUGGCCGCGAAGCCGCCGGUCGCCGCCUCGAUCUCCUGGUAGGAAAACUCCUUCAUGCUCUUGGCGUGUUGCUACCUGCCUGCCUACUGACUGACCUACGGUCGGGUUCUUGGUGGUGCAAUGGUGGCAGUGCCGUGUGUGAGCGGAGUGUAAGCAACAGAAUGCUCGCUGCUCGCAAAGCAGUGGGAGGAGUAGUACUCGCAACUAGGCAUGGAAUAAAGGGAAAAGAAGAGGCGAGGAAAGGUAAAGGCAAUGGAUCAAAGGUGGUAAAGGUUGGUGAUUACGUGUUUUUUAGAGGGAGGGAGGGGACGGAUUUUGGAGAGGGAUGA